UUUUUAGCUCACCUGGCCCGAAGGGCCAAGUGAGCUUUUCUCAUCACUUGGCGUCCGUCGUCCGUCGUCGUCGUCCGUCGUUAACUUUUACAAAAAUCUUCUCCUCUGAAACUACUGGACCAAAUUAAACCAAACUUGGCCACAAUCAUCAUUGGGGUAUCUAGUUUAAAAAUUGUGUCCGGUGACCCGCCCAACCAACCAAGAUGGCCGCCAUGGCUAAAAAUAGAACAUAGGGGUAAAAUGCAGUUUUUGGCUUAUAACUCAAAAACCAAAGCAUUUAGAGCAAAUCUGACAUGGGGUAAAAUUGUUUAUCAGGUCAAGAUCUAUCUGCCCUGACAUUUUCAGAUGAAUCGGACAACCCGUUGAUAGGGUUUGCUGCCCCUGAAUUGGUAAUUUUUGAGAAAAUUUUGCUGUUUUUGGUUAUUAUCUUGAAUAUUAUUAUAGAUAGAGAUAACUGUGAACAACAAAAUGUUCAACAAAGUAAUCAAUAAGAUCUACAAAUAAGUCAACAUGACCAAAAGUUGCAGUUGACCCCUUUAAGAAGUCAUUGCCCUUUAUAGUCAAUUUUUUAACCAUUUUUCGUAAAUCUUAAUUAUCUUUUACAAAAAUCUUCUCCUCUGAAACUACUGGACCAAAUUAAACCAAACUUGGCCACAAUCAUCAUUGGGGUAUCUAGUUUAAAAAUUGUGUCCGGUGAUCCGGCCAACCAACCAAGAUGGCCGCCAUGGCUAAAAAUAGAACAUAGGGGUAAAAUGCAGUUUUUGGCUUAUACUCAAAAACCGAAAGCAUUUAGAGCAAAUCUGACAUGUAGUAAAAUUGUUUAUCAGGUCAAGAUCUAUCUGCCCUGAAAUUUUCAGAUGAAUCGGACAACUCGUUGUUAGGUUGCUGCCCC
rnacentral:lncRNA from 1 species